rnacentral:misc_RNA from 1 species
UCCGGUUUGGCACCGGCAGUCCCCCGAGAGUCCUCAGCGCCUUGCGGCCUGUUAGCAACACGGGGCGAGGGUUGCGCUCGUUGCGGGACUUAACCCAACACCUCACGGCACGAGCUGACGACAGCCAUGCAGCACCUGAACCAGUGGUCCCCGAAAGGAAAGUCCUAUUUCUAGGACGGUCCACUGUUGUCUAGUCCAGGUAAGGUUCUUCGCGUUGCGUCGAAUUGAACCACAUGCUCCACCGCUUGUGCGGGCCCCCGUCAAUUCCUUUGAGUUUCAGCCUUGCGGCCGUACUCCCCAGGCGGGGCACUUCAUGCGUUAGCGCCGGUACCCCGGGGGUCGCUCUCCAGAGCACCUAGUGCCCAUCGUUUACGGCGUGGACUAC